CCCCUCUCACUCUGUCUUCAUCCUCCUCUCUCUUUCCCUCUCAGAGGUGAGGACUGACGUCAGGGAAGUCCUGACUGACUGACUGAAACCCAGCUGAUGAAUUCUCCUCUUCUUCGUCUACACCGUCUCCUCCCCUUCUUCUCCUUUUCUGCAACCUGUGCAUGACUCCCCCCUCAACCUCCCCUGCCAUGGAGUCAGGUAUGAUGAAAGUGGAUCUGUCUGACGGGAAAUGUUAUCCUUAUUGGAUUCUCUCAUAUUUAUUUGAUGCAUGGGAACAAACUGUUGAAAUGUUAUACAAUAUCUUUUAAAAUGUACUUUUAGAAUAGUCGUUGAUAACACACAAGUAUUCCUUGUUAGAUGAUCAGUUAAAAAGGUCUCUUUUUGAUUCACCACAAAUUAAUAUGAUGUCAAGUGAAGCCAUGAAAACAUUUGAUAACUUAUCUUGCAGGUUUUAUUCACGAUUGAGAAUCUGAAAACAAAUUGAUUUAACCUGCAGAUUGUACAAUAUUUACUGUUUCUACUGCAGUGAUCCUUCGAAAUAGAUCUCACUCAAUGAUUCCUGUCUACAAGUUUUAUGUUCAACCACGAGUGAGAAAUGGAACAAAAUCCCCCAAAAGUUUUUCUGGCAUCCCGGACACAUAAAACACACAAAGGUUCUUACCCAUGAGCAUUUUAAAUUCAGCAGGACUGGAUGCAGUUAUCUUAUCUGUCUUGUGUCUUUGUGGUGAUUCAAACAAGGAUAUUAUAACUCAUUUGAAAACAACGUAUGUGAUGCUGGAAAAAUGGAUUCAGAUUCAGAAGGUGAUUCUCUUUUUUUAAAUGAUUUAUGUUUUUUUAUCACACAAUAGUUGAGUGUUUGAAGCAGAUGUGCCUUCUUUUUUUGCCGAGCUCUGCACCAAAUUAUGAAGAGGUGUGGUGUGGUGGGAUCAUAUUUCACGACCUUAGUGUGUUACAGUGUGUGUGUGUGUGUGUGUGUGUGUGUGUGUGUGUGUGUGUGUCUUUGUAUGUGUUUACCUGGUGUUUGAAAGGCCAUGUUAGUCUGGAUCAGGGGUUCGGGUUCUCGGCCAGGAUGUCCUGCAUAUGAGGGGCCGUGUAGGCCAAAAUUCAAACUAACCUCGCACACACACUACUGAAAACAUCUGGCCUUGCACACACACUACUGAAAUACUCUCACAUUCACUACUGAACACCUUGCACACACACUACUGAAAAUUAACCACACACACACGCAACUGAAAACAUUUUACUGAAAGGUUCUCAGUAGGGAAUGGGCAUGUGUUUCACCUAUGUGUGUGAGAGGGGGAUUCUUGCUGUAACGGAAGUCAUUGCAAUGAAACGGAACUAACAAAGAACAAUGCUGCAGUGAUACAGUAGGUGGCGAUAAUGCUCGUCUGGUUGCAAGUUAAAGAAGAUGAAGAACGAAACAGAAGGUUGAAUUCAGCAUGGAUUUAUAGAGAAACGGCAUCGCAGCCAUAGGCUGGACCCCGGGCCGAGCGGUCUACAAACAGAGGCGGUCUGGUCUAUCAAGGUUUUCUUGUUUACAUCACCUGGCGCAGCUCGUGAGGUGGCCUAGCAAGUAACCCGCUAGAAACAUGCACACCCGCUAGCAACAUGCACAGCUGCAAUAA